UCAAACUUGGUCAUUUAGAGGAAGUACAAGUCGUAACAAGGUUUCCGUAGGUGAACCUGCGGAAGGAUCAUUAACAAAUCAAUCAAAAGUAGUGGGGAUGUGUAUGUAUGUGUGAGAUAUAGUGGGGGGAUAUAUUGUUGGUUUCAACUCUGUAUCGCUCACCAUCAUAUCAUAUCAUGCACACCCAACACAUUUGUGCUCCGGGCAUUUAGUCUGGUUGCAUCAUUUAUAUUAAUUCAUUAUUGUCAGUUGUUUAUGUCUAUUCUAAAUUUAUUAACAUACUUUUAACAAUGGAUCUCUUGGCUCUUGCAUCGAUGAAGAACGCAGC
rnacentral:misc_RNA from 1 species